CACUAAAGAAGCUUAAUAUACACAGCACUAGACUUUUAAUCUAGAGAAGAGACCAAACACUCCUUAGUGA
rnacentral:tRNA from 1 species